GUGAGAUGCAGACUGGCACUCACUAUCACAGGACAAAGUUGGUUCUGGAUCUGAUCUAGAGUGUGGAUUUUGUUGACAUUUGAAUUUAAUAUUGAAAAGCCCAUUUGGUGAACAUUUUGCAUUAUAUCUCAGUCAAAAGUGCUUCAGUCACUCUCAUUUUUCUGUAACAGAUAUCCU